rnacentral:rRNA from 1 species
CCUACGGGAGGCAGCAGUGAGGAAUAUUGGUCAAUGGCCGGAAGGCUGAACCAGCCAUGCCGCGUGAAGGUCAGUGCCCUAUGGGCGUUAAACUUCUUUUGUGCGGGAGCAAUAAUGGUCACGUGUGGCCAGACGAGAGUACCGUACGAAUAAGCAUCGGCUAACUCCGUGCCAGCAGCCGCGGUAAUACGGGGGAUGCAAGCGUUAUCCGGAUUUAUUGGGUUUAAAGGGUGCGUAGGCUGUGAGGUAAGUCAGCGGUGAAAUGCCCCCGCUCAACGGGGUGAAGUGCCAUUGAUACUGCCUGGCUGGAGUGCGGAUGCGGUGGGAGGAAUGUGUGGUGUAGCGGUGAAAUGCAUAGAUAUCACACAGAACACCGAUUGCGAAGGCAUCUCACGAAUCCGCGAUUGACGCUGAUGCACGAAAGCGUGGGUAUCAAACAGGAUUAGAUACCCGAGUAGUC